UGGGGAAUCUUGCACAAUGGGGGAAACCCUGAUGCAGCGACGCCGCGUGAACGAUGAAGCCCUUCGGGGUGUAAAGUUCUUUCGACAGGAACGAUAAUGACGGUACCUGGAGAAGAAGCUGCGGCUAACUACGUGCCAGCAGCCGCGGUAAUACGUAGGCAGCGAGCGUUGUUCGGAGUUACUGGGCGUAAAGAGUGCGUAGGCGGCGAGCCAAGUUUGGUGUGAAAUCUCCCGGCUUAACCGGGAGGGUGCGCCGAAAACUGGUUGGCUGGAGUAUGGGAGAGGAAAGCGGAAUUCCUGGUGUAGCGGUGAAAUGCGUAGAUAUCAGGAGGAACACCUGCGGUGUAGACAGCUUUCUGGACCAAAACUGACGCUGAGGCACGAAAGCGCGGGUAGCAAACA
rnacentral:rRNA from 1 species